CUUGAGGGAGCCGAGCAGCAGCGGGCGGUCGGGGUCCCGGUCCUGCCCGUAGGUGUUCAGCAGGGCCUGCGCCUC
rnacentral:antisense_RNA from 1 species